GGUUUACCUCUUGGCGCCUUCUCUAUCUGCAACCUUUGCCUAAAAUACCAACCCACGAAGCCCUACUGCUUCAAUUCUCAAAUUUGCACGUUUCAAUUCCUUCUUCUUUCAUUUCAAUGGCGCUAACUCAAAAUCCCAAACCCACCACAAUCCUCAUAUCCUCCGUCUCUAAUCACUUUUACCCCGCCACUUCACUUACACUUCCAAAUCCACUCAGAACCAAGACCAACUCGCAGUUCUUUGGCGCCAUUCCUUCAAGCAUUCACAAUCUUCAGCAGCCAUUACCAAUCUUCUCUAGAAGAUUGUUUCUCCCUGCAGUGUCUGGCAUCUGGGAUGCCGUAACAGGUGGCAACAAUGCCCGUGAAGCCGUUGUGGCGAUCAGACGCGGAAUGUUACUCUUUAGACAGGGUGAUGUUUUGGGGUCUUUGGCGGAAUUCGAUAAGGCAAUAGAGUUGGAUCCUCGUCAAAAGGCUUAUCUUUGGCAAAGGGGGCUCUCUCUUUACUAUCUAGAUAGAUUUGAAGAAGGGGCAGAGCAGUUUCGAUUCGAUGUUGCCCAAAAUCCAAACGACACAGAGGAGUCAAUAUGGUGCUUUCUUUGUGAAGCUCAGUUGUAUGGAGUUGAUGAUGCAAGGAAGCAAUUUCUUGAGGUUGGCAGAGAUCCACGACCUGUCAUGCGGGAGGCUUAUAACAUGUUUAAAGAUGGUGGUGAUCCAGAAAAGCUUAUCACGGCAUUUUCAAAUGGCCCAGAUAAUGAAUAUUUCUAUGCUUCUUUAUAUGCUGGGCUAUAUCAUGAAUCCCAGAAUAAACCAGAUGCAGCCAAAUUUGAUAUAGUUGCUGCAUGUAUGUCUCCUUAUGGACAAAGGUCUGAUGAUUAUAUGGCGGCUCUUUGCAAAGUUCACUGUCUAUGUCGAAACUGGAGUGUCAACUGAUAUUUCGCUCCAACUUGGAAACUACAGUUCUUGAUAGUUCUUCUUAUUCUGAUUUUGAUGUUCUUCGGAAUGUUAAGAAAUCAUUUUAAGGCAUUACUGAGAAUGUGUCAAGAGUCCUCAACUAAAGAUUAUAAAGAUGGGCUUAUAAAGGUGAAGGGCUAGCUAAUUAGUUUUUGUAGAAGAUUGCUGAGCUGGAUUAAAAUAAGUGGUUUGUCAUAUAAGUUGUUCCACAACUGUUGUAACUUAUUUUUUCUCUUUUCUCUUUUCCUUUCACAUGCGCAGCAUGUGUGCUAGACUUGUAUAUAAAGACACAGACUUUGUAUUCUGUUUUCAGAUGAGAAUAUAGCAGUUACCAUUUUUCUCAA